AUUGAACGCUGGCGGAAUGCUUUACACAUGCAAGUCGAACGGCAGCACGGACUUCGGUCUGGUGGCGAGUGGCGAACGGGUGAGUAAUACAUCGGAACGUGCCCAGUCGUGGGGGAUAACGUAGCGAAAGCUACGCUAAUACCGCAUACGAUCUAAGGAUGAAAGCGGGGGAUCGCAAGACCUCGCGCGAUUGGAGCGGCCGAUGGCAGAUUAGGUAGUUGGUAGGGUAAAGGCCUACCAAGCCGACGAUCUGUAGCUGGUCUGAGAGGAUGAUCAGCCACACUGGGACUGAGACACGGCCCAGAUUCCUACGGGAGGCAGCAGUGGGGAAUUUUGGACAAUGGGCGCAAGCCUGAUCCAGCCAUUCCGCGUGCAGGAUGAAGGCCUUCGGGUUGUAAACUGCUUUUGUACAGAACGAAAAGGCUCUGGUUAAUACCCGGGGCUCAUGGCGGUACUGUAAGAAUAAGCACCGGCUAACUACGUGCCAGCCGCCGCGGUAACAC
rnacentral:rRNA from 1 species